GUCCAGGUGCGAGUGCUCUCCACGCGGCUCUUCAGAGAUGUGCUGGCGAUUGUGCUGGGCACCAAAGACCAGCAGCUGCAGAAGCAAGUGCGCAGCAGCCUGCUGCCACUGCUCUUCCACAUGGAGGACGAGAGCUGCAGCGUGCGCCAGGCCUCUCGGGAAGCCCUCCUUCGCGCUGCCAAGUUCCUCAAGUGGAAGCAGCUCAGGCAGCUGGUUGAGACAGCGCAGACGUGGAGGAUCGGCGAGUGCCUGCUGGUGAGGGCCAGAAGAGCAGAAGAGUACCUGCACCAGAGCCUGACAUACUUGGAGAGCCCA